GGGGAUGUAGCUCAGUGGCCCAGUGCCUGCCUGGCAAGCAGAAGGCCCUGAGUUCAAUUCCCAGUACCA
rfam:Heterocephalus glaber contig170096, whole genome shotgun sequence.